rfam:Candidatus Fischerbacteria bacterium RBG_13_37_8 RBG_13_scaffold_4467, whole genome shotgun sequence.
GGUGGAAGACCCACCGGCAACGGCUUACAGGAGCAGUUGUCAAACCGCC